AACGAACGCUGGCGGCGCGCCUAAUACAUGCAAGUCGAGCGAGAAGACGUAGCAAUACGUUUGUAAAGCGGCGAACGGGUGAGGAAUACAUGGGUAACCUACCCUCGAGUGGGGAAUAACUAGCCGAAAGGUUAGCUAAUACCGCGUACGCUCCUUGGACUUCGGUUCAGGGAGGAAAGCGAUACCGUGGGUAUCGCGCUCUUGGAUGGGCUCAUGUCCUAUCAGCUUGUUGGUGAGGUAACGGCUCACCAAGGCUUCGACGGGUAGCUGGUCUGAGAGGACGAUCAGCCACACUGGCACUGCGACACGGGCCAGACUCCUACGGAGGCAGCAGUAAGGAAUAUUGCGCAAUGGGCGAAAGCCUGACGCAGCGACGCCGCGUGGGGGAUGAAGGU
rnacentral:rRNA from 1 species